GACGAACGCUGGCGGCGUGCUUAACACAUGCAAGUCGAACGGAAAGGCCCUGCUUUUGUGGGGUGCUCGAGUGGCGAACGGGUGAGUAACACGUGAGUAACCUGCCCUUGACUUUGGGAUAACUUCAGGAAACCGGGGCUAAUACCGGAUAGGAGCUCCUGCUGCAUGGUGGGGGUUGGAAAGUUUCGGCGGUUGGGGAUGGACUCGCGGCUUAUCAGCUUGUUGGUGGGGUAGUGGCUUACCAAGGCUUUGACGGGUAGCCGGCCUGAGAGGGUGACCGGCCACAUUGGGACUGAGAUACGGCCCAGACUCCUACGGGAGGCAGCAGUGGGGAAUAUUGCACAAUGGGCGGAAGCCUGAUGCAGCAACGCCGCGUGCGGGAUGACGGCCUUCGGGUUGUAAACCGCUUUCGCCUGUGACGAAGCGUGAGUGACGGUAAUGGGUAAAGAAGCACCGGCUAACUACGU
rnacentral:rRNA from 1 species